AUAUGAAAAUAUUUUGGAAGAUAAUUUCGCUUAGGAAAAUAAUAAAUGGUAAUUUUCAAAUUUGAAUUAAAUAAUUUCUGGUGAUAAUAUCGAUUGUUUAAGAUAGUUUUGAUUUUGAAUUACAUCUUUAUAUAUAAAAGAAGCAUUGUAUCCUUCCUGAGGCUGCCAGCUCGGAUGCCACGUCGGAAAUAGGAGCUCAACCGCGUUGACACGUCGGAUCCGCACCGUUUCACUAAAGCUUUGUUCUGUCCGAACGGGCUUCACGUGGGCUUCGUGUUGCGCUUAGUCUGCGGCCCAUCGACCACAAGCUUCUACGGAAACCCUAAUCAGUUGCGAUGCGAACCCCUUUGUGUUCUUCGUUUCUCUUUGAUCGCGCAGUGACGAUCCUGUUAUCUAAGCAGCACACUACUUGGUCAUCCUAUCCAUCAGUUGCGAUUGCAUUCGGUAUAUAUAUGCACCUCACGGAACCCUCAAACAAUCUAAUCCUUCCACAAUCUUCUUCAGAUCCUCUUUUAUCUUCUUUCUCCGUUAGAAGUGAUUGUUUCUAAGAGACAUCUUAAUUGACAUUUCAUCCUAGAUUCUUAUUAAUGGCAGUCUGUAAGUUAAAUUUCCCUUUUUGUUCUUUCUGUGCACAUGGAAUUUACAUUUGCUCAAUUUUUUUGCAUCUAUGCUUGACGUUUGAAAAUCUGAAUCCGAUUUCAAAGUCAUGGAUCUGGAAAUUAAUGAUGCGCUGGCGAUGGAAAUUUGUCAUGAUACCAGCAUAAAUUCACGGGACGGUUGGCGUUCCUCUCCGGCGUAGCAAUCUAUGGCUUGCUAAUUUUGGAGUGGCUAGGAUUGGAGCUCAGAAUCCAAAUGACAUGACUGAAGAAACUGGUACUCUUGGAUACGUGGCUCCAAAGUGAGAACGUCUCAGCCGAGAAGAUCAAGAGCUGAUGCAGAAGCUUCCUGAUUCCAGCAAAUCAAACGCUGUUGAACAACAUAAAAUCUGUUUCACCCAAUUCAAAAGUGAGAAAUUUGCGAGUUAUUAAAUUUAAUAUUUUUUAUCUUCACUUCACCUUCUCUGAAAUUGUCUGUUUAGCUCUCCUUCUUUUUAGCUCUCCUUCUUUUACAGGAUUCAUUUGGUAAGAAGCUGAUGGAUAGGAUCCGGCUAACCCAACCCCGGUUCCUGCACAGUACUCUUCGUCCGCCUCUACCACGGUGUCUCAACCCAACUCCGGUUCCUGCCAUGUUGAUGCAGAUCCACAGCGACACUAUACGUGUUGCCGAAUCUGCACUUUAAUCCUCCUAAGUUCAAUUUCAUGCCGCAAAUUUAGAGACACGGUGUGUCCUUCUUUUUCUCUCUGUUCAUAUACACUUGGAUAUGUAAUAUAAGAAAUUAAAAAUGCUUCUCUUUUGUUGUUCUAUGUGACCAGAAAAGACAGAAUUCUGAACAAGUAGAAGAACAAGAUCCACUUAUUAGUUGUUGUUCUUCUUUGAUGUAGUUGAACACAGUUUUGUAUGUUGGAAACGACUUUGAUCGGCCAGUUUUGUAAAGAGUAUUCACUAAUUAGCUGACGCCUUGGAUCAUGUUAGGUUUUGCUCUUAUUCACUGCCUUUUAACCACUCUUCUGGUGAAAAUUAUAUACACUGGUAUACCUUCCUUCUUCUUCAAUCCAUUUGUUUGAUUCAGUUAAUCUUCUUUUAUUUCUUAGUCUUCUUCUUUUAACUGUGUAGCUAAGGAAGAGUUCGAGAAUCUGUGUUUAAUUCUUGGUAUUGAGCUUGAUGUCGUGGUAAGUCCAGCGUAUCUUUUUUUUUUCCCCCUGAUUAGCAUCUGUGUUUUGCAAUGACUACUAGACAACUGAGAAAGCAAUCAUCAGGAAAGAAAAGCAUAUAGAAGAAGAAGAAGCUGAUGAUGACGAAGAAGUCAUCUACAAAUAAUAUAUCAAUCUGGCUGUGUAGUGUAUAUACACUGGUAUAUAUUUAUAUAUGAUAUUUUUAAACAAAUUUCGAGACUAAUGUUUAGGUUAAAUUUUAAAAGCAAUAAAAUCAGUCAAAUGUAUUAUAAACAAUCUACAAAAAUCAUAUUCGUGAAGUAAUUAAAUAAAAAUAGAGGAAAUCACAAGCUAUACAUUAGAAGCUAACAGUAAUAUUUUUUCAGAAUAUCCUAAUAUAUGUUCAUGUAUUUAAUUUGAUAAUUUCUUAAAAUAAAUAUGGUUAUUUUUAAGUAGUAACGAUCAAUAUUAAACUAUUAUACAGAUUAGCUAAUUUAGAAAAUAAAAUUUUACAUUGAUUCACCUUUCCAUUAUGCAAAGCUUGAUUUAGAAGAAAAUAUAAAAUUAUCAAUGGAUUAAAAGAAAUUUAUAAGAGAGAGAAAUUUCAUGCAAGAAACAAAAAUUUAAAACAAAACAAGAUCGAAUUAAAAACGUGUCUAAACCAUAAAUUUUAGUUAGUGGGGGGCAGUAGCCAAUAACGUCAGCUUUAAUUUUUUAUUCUGGUAAGAUAUUCAAUAUUUUUAAAAAAUUUCCUGUAACAUCUUAACAACCAUAAACAUUAUUGUAAUUUUUUUUUUCAAAUCCUAACAUAAAACACAUGCAGAGAAAAUCUAACUAAUACUAAAAGGGUUAUACGAGCAUCAGCCAACCUAUCCACGUCAUCUUAAAAAAUCAUCCAAUUAAAACAUAAGUAAUUGACACAUCAGAUGACACAUCCUCUUUUCUUCCAUCGACGACCCCUCUUCCAAAAAGUUAUUGUUUCCGCUUCGUCUUCCCUUCUGAACCCCUCUUCUUAAGUAUUUUCAUCCAACUUCAAUUAUAUUCCAGUUCCAGUCAAUCGAUUCCUCGCCUGCCUCGCCUUCAUCCUCCAAUGGCGAGGGUUGAUUGCUCGAACCUAGAUCGAAGCUCUUCCCCUUCUUUUCCUUACUAUGGUGAUUGGAACUUCGGUGUUGAUUCCAAUCUAAAGCCUAAGGUAAUGUAAAGUCCUCUGCUUUCGAGUGUUUCGAGAAUGGGUUCUUUGCCAAGAGAUUGUUGAUUUGAUCAGAUCUGUCUUUGGGGGUUUUGUAAAGUUCUCGC